GACGAACGCUGGCGGCGUGCCUAAUACAUGCAAGUAGAACGCUGAAGCUUGGUGCUUGCCCCGAGCGGAUGAGUUGCGAACGGGUGAGUAACGCGUAGGUAGCCUGCCUGGUAGCGGGGGAUAACUAUUGGAAACGAUAGCUAAUACCGCAUAAGAGUAGAUGUUGCAUGACAUUUGCUUAAAAGGUGCAAUUGCAUCACUACCAGAUGGACCUGCGUUGUAUUAGCUAGUUGGUGAGGUAACGGCUCACCAAGGCAACGAUACAUAGCCGACCUGAGAGGGUGAUCGGCCACACUGGGACUGAGACACGGCCCAGACUCCUACGGGAGGCAGCAGUAGGGAAUCUUCGGCAAUGGACGGAAGUCUGACCGAGCAACGCCGCGUGAGUGAAGAAGGUUUUCGGAUCGUAAAGCUCUGUUGUAAGAGAAGAACGAGUGUGAGAGUGGAAAGUUCACACUGUGACGGUAGCUUACCAGAAAGGGACGGCUAACUACGUG
rnacentral:rRNA from 1 species